rnacentral:rRNA from 1 species
CGUAGGGCGCGAGCGUUGUCCGGAUUUAUUGGGCGUAAAGAGCUCGUAGGUGGUUCGUCGCGUCUGUCGUGAAAGCCAGCAGCUUAACUGUUGGUCUGCGGUGGGUACGGGCGGGCUUGAGUGCGGUAGGGGUGACUGGAAUUCCUGGUGUAGCGGUGGAAUGCGCAGAUAUCAGGAGGAACACCGAUGGCGAAGGCAGGUCACUGGGCCGUUACUGACACUGAGGAGCGAAAGCGUGGGGGAGCGAACAGGAUU